UACGUAGGGUGCGAGCGUUAAUCGGAAUUACUGGGCGUAAAGCGUGCGCAGGCGGUUCGUCGUGUCCGAUGUGAAAGCCCCGGGCUCAACCUGGGAAUGGCAUUGGAAACUGGCGGACUCGAGUGUGGCAGAGGGGGGUGGAAUUCCGCGUGUAGCAGUGAAAUGCGUAGAGAUGCGGAGGAACACCGAUGGCGAAGGCAGCCCCCUGGGCUAACACUGACGCUCAGGCACGAAAGCGUGGGGAGCAAAC
rnacentral:rRNA from 1 species